GACGAACGCUGGCGGCGUGCUUAACACAUGCAAGUCGAACGGAAAGGCCCUGCUUUUGUGGGGUGCUCGAGUGGCGAACGGGUGAGUAACGCGUGAGUAACCUGCCCUUGACUUUGGGAUAACUUCAGGAAACUGGGGCUAAUACCGUAUAGGAGCUCCUGCUGCAUGGUGGGGGUUGGAAAGUUUCGGCGGUUGGGGAUGGACUCGCGGCUUAUCAGCUUGUUGGUGGGGUAGUGGCUUACCAAGGCUUUGACGGGUAGCCGGCCUGAGAGGGUGACCGGCCACAUUGGGACUGAGAGACGGCCCAGACUCCUACGGGAGGCAGCAGUGGGGAAUAUUGCACAAUGGGCGGAAGCCUGAUGCAGCAACGCCGCGUGCGGGAUGACGGCCUUCGGGUUGUAAACCGCUUUCGCCUGUGACGAAGCGUGAGUGACGGUAAUGGGUAAAGAAGCACCGGCUAACUACGUG
rnacentral:rRNA from 1 species